AAGUCGUAACAAGGUUUCCGUAGGUGAACCUGCGGAAGGAUCAUUAACACGUAUCCAACGUUAAACCCCCCGUGAACCUUCAUUGUGCUCCCCCAUUCCGUUAGGACGCGGCAAUCCCUGGUAAAUCAUUGUUGAACAGAUUUUUGAUUCAGGGACCUCAGUUUGGCAGUUAGGAUUGAGCCAUCGGUGCAAGUGGUCUGGUUUCCCCAAGCAGUCAGUGUCUGAAAGUGGCAUUGAUUGUGUAAGGAUAACGCUUUUCGAUAACUAGAGGCCGACACCGGCCGGUGACCAGGUCGCCGUGGCUAAACAACUGUUAACAAUGGAUAGCUUGGUUCUC
rnacentral:misc_RNA from 1 species